rnacentral:rRNA from 1 species
GACGAACGCUGGCGGCGUGCUUAACACAUGCAAGUCGAACGGUGAAGCGCCUUCCUUUUUGGUGGGUGUGGAUGAGUGGCGAACGGGUGAGUAACACGUGAGUAACCUGCCCCCUUCUUCUGGAUAACCUCAUGAAAGUGUUGCUAAUACGGGAUAUUCUGGGUCUGUUGCAUGAUGGGUCUGGGAAAGAUAUUGUUUCGGUGGGGGAUGGGCUCGCGGCCUAUCAGCUUGUUGGUGGGGUGAUGGCCUACCAAGGCGGUGACGCGUAGCCGGCCUGAGAGGGUGGACGGUCACGCUGGGGCUGAGACACGGUCCAGACUGCGACGGGGGGCAGCAGUGAGGAAUAUUGCACAAUGGGCAGAAGCAUGAUGCAGCGACGCCGCAUGAGGGAUGGAGGCCUGCGGGUUGUGAACCUCUUUCGCCAGUGAAGCAGGCCUGCCUCGUUUGUGGGUGGGUUGACGGUAGCUGAAGAAGAAGCGCCGGCUAACUACGUG